UACGGAGGGUGCAAGCGUUAAUCGGAAUUACUGGGCGUAAAGCGCACGCAGGUGGCUGAGUCAGUCGAUUGUGAAAGCCCUGGGCUUAACCUGGGAAUUGCAGUCGAUACUACUCAGCUAGAGUAUGGGAGAGGGCAGUGGAAUUCCCGGUGUAGCGGUGAAAUGCGUAGAUAUCGGGAGGAACAUCAGUGGCGAAGGCGGCUGCCUGGCCCAAUACUGACACUGAGGAGCGAAAGCGUGGGGAGCGAUCCGG
rnacentral:rRNA from 1 species